GACGCUGCCUCCAGAGAGGCUCAGAGCAGGGUGGAUGCUGCCUCCAGUGUGGCUCAGAACAGUGCACACUUGCUCCAGGAGAGGCUCAGAGCAGGGUGGACGCUGCCUCCAGAGAGGCUCAGAGCAGGGUGGAUGCUGCCUCCAGUGUGGCUCAGAACAGUGCACACUUGCUCCAGGAGAGGCUC